rnacentral:tRNA from 3 species
AAGAUAUUAGUAAAACGAUUACAUGACUUUGUCAAAGUCAAAUUAUAAGAUAAAACUUAUAUAUCUUG